AGUGAACGCUGGCGGUAGGCCUAACACAUGCAAGUCGAACGGCAGCACAGGAGAGCUUGCUCUCUGGGUGGCGAGUGGCGGACGGGUGAGGAAUACAUCGGAAUCUACUUUUUCGUGGGGGAUAACGUAGGGAAACUUACGCUAAUACCGCAUACGACCUACGGGUGAAAGCAGGGGACCUUCGGGCCUUGCGCGAUUGAAUGAGCCGAUGUCGGAUUAGCUAGUUGGCGGGGUAAAGGCCCACCAAGGCGACGAUCCGUAGCUGGUCUGAGAGGAUGAUCAGCCACACUGGAACUGAGACACGGUCCAGACUCCUACGGGAGGCAGCAGUGGGGAAUAUCGGACAAUGGGCGCAAGCCUGAUCCAGCCAUACCGCGUGGGUGGAGAAGGCCUUCGGGUUGUAAAGCCCUUUUGUUGGGAAAGAAAUCCAGCUGGCUAAUACCCGGUUGGGAUGACGGUACCCAAAGAAUAAGCACCGGCUAACUUCGUGCCAGCAGCCGCCGUAA
rnacentral:rRNA from 1 species